AACUUCAACGUAUAGGAGGUCUUGCCUGCCCAGUGACAAGUUAAACGGCCGCGGUAUUUUGACCGUGCGAAGGUAGCGCAAUCACUUGUCUUUUAAAUGAAGACCUGUAUGAAUGGUGGAACGAGGGCUUAACUGUCUCCCUUUUCAGGUCAAUGAAAUUGAUCUGCCCGUGCAGAAGCGGACAUACAAAUACAAGACGAGAAGACCCUUUGGAGCUUAAGACACAAGAUCAACUACGUCAAGAACCCAACACCAGGUUAAACUAAGUAGAAACUGAUCCACAUCUUCAGUUGGGGCGACCGCGGGAGAAAACAAAGCUCCCACGCGGACCGGGGUUUCAACCCUAAAACCAAGAGAGACAUCUCCAAGUCACAGAAUAUCUGACCAUAAAGAUCCGGCCACCUGCCGAUCAACGGACCAAGUUACCCUAGGGAUAACAGCGCAAUCCUCUUCCAGAGUCCAUAUCGACAAGAGGGUUUACGACCUCGAUGUUGGAUCAGGACAUCCUAAUGGUGCAGCCGCUAUUAAGGGUUCGUUUGUUCAACGAUUAAAGUCCUACGUGA
rnacentral:rRNA from 1 species